GUUUAUUUGGAGAAACGAUAAAGAAAACAAUUUAUUCAAUUUAUUUAUUAAUUUAUUGAACUCGGAUAUGUAACACGAAGAUAUAUGUAAGUCGGCCCGGGGCUAUAGUAGAAGACACUUGCCCAAGGUACCACGCAGUGGGACUGAACCCAGAACCACGUGGUUGCCAGGAACUUUUCAGCAACCACACGUAUAUUUAGGUGCGUCAGCUUCAGGUCAUGGGCUUGAUUUUUAGCGGUUCACAAAAAUGGAAGUCGGGAUCCCAGAGAGAAAAAUGAAGAGGAAAGAACAAACGUGUCUGCGAGAAAGACCAAUGCCCGAAUAUAUUCUGCAGAAUGGAAGCGAUGAGAAUAAAAUGGGCGGGAAAAAGGAGAAGAGAAAGAGAAAGAAGGCACAAGGCCCGAAAUGUUUGGGGAGGAAGCCAGACCAUAAGAUCGACCCCAGUACGCAACUGGUACUUAAUUUAUCGAUACCCUAAGGAUGAAAGGCAAAUUCGACCUCGGUGGAAUUCGAACUCAGAACGUAAAGACAGACAGUAUUUCGCCCGGCGUGCUAACGAUUCUGCCAGGUUCAGACAAGGACCUUGUCCCAAGAGUAUAAAAGAAUAAUUGUCGUCUUAAUCACCAACAAUCUUCGCAUCUGACUGGCUCGAUCCUGUUAUCUUGAUGUUCACCUUGGAGAUCUCUGCGAGGGACUAGUUAAGUAUCCCAAAUACUUGGUACACACACCGAGGGUUACAGGAAAGUUUUAGAAGCAGCUGGUUUUUAAGAAAUGAUGAAAUAAACAAAUGAGCCGAGCUUCUUCAGGGAAAUGUAAACAACAAAAACAACAACAACAACCACAAGACACACAACAACAGCAACAACGAUAUCCAUACUGAAUUUCAGAAGUCUUAAGAUAUUUCUAAUGUCUCACUUGCAGAUGGUAUUUGUAGAGCAUAAAUGAACAUGGAGUUUCUUUGUCUAAAAUUCCCCCGACUUUCUUAGACAAUCACGCCAUCAUUUAAUCAAAUUGGUUGAAUCAGGAGAGAGGCAGGAAGUGCUUUGCAGUGAUUUGUUAUCUCCCUUUAUCGUUUUAAGAUUCACCAACAAUAAAACCAUCCAUAUAUUUGAGUACCUUAUUA